rnacentral:lncRNA from 2 species
GCUGUUUGCUGUUUACGGAGGCCUCUGGUCAAGGCACAGGGCAUAGUGACUGUGCCAGCUGAGGCUGGCUCGUGGGUUACCUAUGACCAGAAGGCUUCCCAGUGACCUGUCAGAGAGGCCCUGCUCACAGGUCACUCUGCAAGCCCGAGCCGAUGACAUGCACCAGGCAGUCACCAGCUUCACGUCCACCUCCCAUAUUCUGUUCAAUCUGUUCACAGUCAGCAACAACACAGAUGUUCUGAGAAAAGGGAGGGCUUGCUAACUCAGCAACCUUCUGUGUACCUAAUUACCCAGAGAAUUUUGCGUUGGGAAGACAAUGACACAAGCAUUCCAAGAGAAGCAUAGAACCCCAGUCUUGAAACGAUCUCGGAGAUUCUGAUUUGUAGCCUCAUUAUCAGAAACCAUAUCAUCCUAACAGAAAUUCAAUGCUUGUAUACAGUUUCAUGACAAAACUCUAUAGAAAGAGAUCUGGAAGUUUCUUUUAAAAUUAAACGUUCACUUAACUCUCCAACCAAACAUUCUAUCCCUAUAUUUUUAGGCAAGAGAAAUUAAAAAAAAAAAUGUGCUACACAAAGACAUCCAUACUAACACUCUCCAUAGCUCUAUUCAUAAUAGUCCUAAACUGGAAACAAUCCAAAUGCUUGCAAAUGUCAGCAGGACAAAGAGGUGUUUUUUUUUGUUUGUUUGUUUGUUUUAAAGUGAUAUAUUCAGGCAAUUGAUUACCACUCAGCAAUGAAAAGAAAUAGACAACUCAACAAGCAGUCCAGUAAAGAAAUGGGCAGAGGAAUGGAAAAGACAUUUUUCUAAAGAAGACAUACAAAUGGCCAACAGGUACAGGAAAGGUGCUCCGCAUCACUAAUGUUCAGGGAAAAGAAAUGCAAAUGAAACCUGCAAGAAGUGAUCACAUUGCACAUAGAACGGCACUCCUCAGAAAGACGAGAGGGAAGUGUUGGUGAGGAUGUGCCGAAAAGGGAAUCCUUGUACGUCGCUGGUGGAAAUGUAAGUUGGUGCAGCCAUUAUGGAAAAUGGUAUGGAGUUUCCUUAAAAAAACAAAACUGAAAAGAGAACUACCAUACAAUCCUGCAAUCCGACUUUUCUGGGUAUAUAUCCAAAGGAAAUGAAAACCAGAUCUUGAAGAUCUGCAUUCUCAUGUCCAGUGCAGCAUUAUUCACAACAGCCAAGACAUGAAAAACAAGUCAAGUGUUCAUCUCCAGAUAAAGAAGGAUAUAUGGUGGCUAUGUACACACCACAGAAUAUUAUUCAGCCAUGUGAAAGAAAGAAGUUUUACCAUCUGCAACAACCUGGAUGGACCUUGAUGGCAUUAUGCUACAUGAAAUAAGCUGAAUAGAGAAAAACAAGUACUGUACAACCUCACUUACAUGUAGAAUCUAAAGAAAGCUGAACUCACAGAAAGAGACUGGAAUGUUGGCUGCCAGGGGCUGGGAGAUGGGGAAUAGGGGUGAUGUUGGUCUCAGGGUACAAAUUUCCAGAUAUUAGAUGAGUAAGUUCUGGGGAUCGAAUGUACAGAGUGGUGCACACAGUUGAUAAUUCUGUGUCAUACUAGAAAGAGUAGACCUGCAGUGUUCUCAACCACAAAAAAGAAAGGGCAAUUAUGUGAUGUGACAGUUGUUACGUAUGGUGGUAAUCACUCGCAAAUGCAUCAAAUUGAUUUGUUGUAUACCGUAAACUCACACAAUAUUGAAUGCCAAUUAUAUCUCAAUAAAGCUGGAAAAAAGAUAACA